rnacentral:rRNA from 1 species
AGUGAACGCUGGCGGUAGGCCUAACACAUGCAAGUCGAACGGCAGCACAGUAAGAGCUUGCUCUUACGGGUGGCGAGUGGCGGACGGGUGAGGAAUACAUCGGAAUCUACUUUUUCGUGGGGGAUAACGUAGGGAAACUUACGCUAAUACCGCAUACGACCUACGGGUGAAAGCAGGGGAUCUUCGGACCUUGCGCGAUUGAAUGAGCCGAUGUCGGAUUAGCUAGUUGGCGGGGUAAAGGCCCACCAAGGCGACGAUCCGUAGCUGGUCUGGGAGGACGAUCAGCCACACUGGAACUGAGACACGGUCCAGACUCCUACGGGAGGCAGCAGUGGGGAAUAUUGGACAAUGGGCGCAAGCCUGAUCCAGCCAUACCGCGUGGGUGAAGAAGGCCUUCGGGUUGUAAAGCCCUUUUGUUGGGAAAGAAAAGCAGCAGGUUAAUACCCCGCUGUUCUGACGGUACCCAAAGAAUAAGCACCGGCUAACUUCGUG